rnacentral:rRNA from 14 species
GACCUGCGGAAGGAUCAUUG